GAACACGCCGGCGAGAGAAAGAAAGAAAGAAAGGUUACACUGGGCCUAAGCUCCUAGCGUGAGAUUAUCGGAGAAUCGCUUGUGAGUGCAACCCCAGCACUGCCAAGCAGACUCUACGGUCUGCACCACCGCAUCCUAGCCACCAUCAUCCUAGCACAUCCGAGCCGCCCUAUCCUAGCCAUCACCCUAUGUCGCUAGGGAACGCCGCAUUAAAGCUGCGGAGCACUGCCAGUUAGUUGCAACAUGCCAGAGCCAUGGCGCUCCUGCUUCGACCUUGGAUCUUGGACCCUGGACCGCACCCCUGGACGCCUCUAAUUCGGACUUCUGCACCACGACCUUUUUCAUUCGUGGGAUCACCGAUCGGUUUUGCACCAAUCUUUCGCCUUUUGCAUAAUUGGGCUUUUAUCCGGAUUUGUACCCGGGUCCCUUCUGCCGUAAGGACGAGUCAAAUCGCUAAACUAGUUAGCAAUCCGGUGAUUGGGGGCGGGGGGGCCAGCC
rnacentral:lncRNA from 1 species